GUCAUUUUUAUCGGUAGUUUACUUUGUCAAACACAACAAGCGCAAAUGUUGCAGAGGGCGAGGGUUGAUGAGGGCAAAGAGCGGCUACACAAUCGCAAGACCAUGCAACCACACCUCACACCCACCCACCAACAGCCCCCCUUCAACCAGAUUUGUAAUGAUCCUUCCGCAGGUUCACCUACGGAAA
rnacentral:misc_RNA from 1 species